UAGGGACUCUCUAUGUCCCUCCCCCACCCUAUUCAUCCUAAUAGUUUCUCCAUGAUCAUGCUUAGUUUCACUGUUUGUAUCUAGUCUUUAUCUACUUUUCCACAGUCAACAAUGGACCAUUGUGGACUCCAGCUCUCCUUGAUCACUUUGCACCCUUUGAUUUGUUAUCUGAUAUUUCUGAUUGUCUAGGGAAGAAUUGCAGAUGCUAGUUUAAAUCGAAGACUGCCACAGAAGGUAGUUGAGACCACAGUUCAUUGGCUAUAUUUAAGAGGGAGUUAGAUGUGGCCCUUGUGGCUAAAGGGAUCAGGGGGUAUGGAGUGAAGGCAGGUACAGGAUACUGAGUUGGAUGAUCAGCCAUGAUCAUAUUGAAUGGCGGUGCAGGCUCGAAGGGCCGAAUGGCCUACUCCUGCACCUAUUUUCAAACCUUUCAUUCAUUUGUUCUUUGUACCGUUUCAUGCCUGUAGUUUCUCUCUCCCCUCACUCUCAGUCUGAAGGUGAAAAGUCCUGACCCAAAACGUCCCCUGUUCCUUUUCUCGAGAGAUGCUGCCUGACCCAUUGAGUUGAGUUACCCCAGCAUUUCAUGUCUACCUUCGGAAAGAUUUCUGCCUGACUGACCUUACUGCAGAGAUUACAAUGUGGGCUGUGUUCCAAACAGGACCUAGGGCAGGCUAAGGCCAGGGAAGAUGGUGGGACUGAUUGCAACUUUGCUUCUCGGUUCUUUACAGCGCUAAUAUUCAUAUCAAUUUUGUCAUGGAUCGAGUCACUCAGCGACUAUCUCCUGUCUACAUCUGUGGCUGUUGUGGUAAAUAGAGUGGUGAGAAGCGGGAACCAGGUUCAGUGUUUAAAAGAUCACAUCCUGUGUAUGUUUUUGGUAUUUAUGGUCACUGCGUUCGGCUAAUCAACCAUCAGUCAGCUGCCUGUCCUCCUCUGAACACAGUCCCCUGCUCGUCCAAACCAGCCAGAAGUGAAGCUGAGGUCAGUUCACACACACAAGGCACCAGCUCUCCUUUCAACUGAGCACCGGACACCCUGCUGCAAUUAUGAAGCUCAUCAUCUGCCUUGCAUUGCUCCUGACAUCCCUCACAAACGUUGAAUCAGCGGUCGUAAUCUACAGGAAAGAUUCAGGUAGAUGCAAGGACGUGAUUGAUAGAACAAUGCACAAGAUUGGAUCAAAGUGGAGAAACUCUAACUGCCAGCUCUGUAAAUGCUUCCAUACUGUUGUGGCCUGUUGGGAUAGCUAUUCCGUGCCCAGCAAUUACCCAACUGAUUGCGUGGCCAGUUUUGAGCGCCAAGGCUGUCGGUAUCGAAUCCACAAGAGAGACAACCCUUCUGUUGAAUGCCCAGUGUGGCCAGUUGGAUGGAAAUAUAGUAACAUUGCAAUGUAGAAAUUUGUCGCUUGGAUUAGUCGAAGUGGUGAACGAUGUGUCAUUUUCUUCAAACAAUAAGCAUAUUCAAUAAAGAUCAUAUCUCAGUGUGUGUCACCUUCCUGCUCAUUUGGUUCCUGAGAGUCUUG